GAUGAACGCUGGCGGUGUGCCUAAUACAUGCAAGUCGAGCGAACAGACGAGGAGCUUACUCCUCUGACGUUAGCGGCGGACGGGUGAGUAACACGUGGAUAACCUACCUAUAAGACUGGGAUAACUUCGGGAAACCGGAGCUAAUACCGGAUAACAUGUUGAACCGCAUGGUUCAACAGUGAAAGACGGUCUUGCUGUCACUUAUAGAUGGAUCCGCGUCGCAUUAGCUAGUUGGUAAGGUAACGGCUUACCAAGGCAACGAUGCGUAGCCGACCUGAGAGGGUGAUCGGCCACACUGGAGCUGAGACACGGUCCAGACUCCUACGGGAGGCAGCAGUAGGGAAUCUUCCGCAAUGGGCGAAAGCCUGACGGAGCAACGCCGCGUGAGUGAAGAAGGUCUUCGGAUCGUAAAACUCUGUUAUUAGGGAAGAACAAAUGUGUAAGUAACUAUGCACGUCUUGACGGUACCUAAUCAGAAAGCCACGGCUAACUACGUG
rnacentral:rRNA from 1 species